GGCCUGGUAGCCAAGGGGUAAGGCGUCGCUCUGCAAAAGCGAUAUACGGGAGUUCGAUUCUCCCCCAGGCCU
rnacentral:tRNA from 1 species